rnacentral:rRNA from 1 species
GUGGAUUAGAUACCCUGCUAGUCCACGCCGUAAACGAUGCACACUGGGAAUGUGGAGAAUCGACCCUCUGCGUUUCGAAGCUAACGCGUUAAGUGUGCCGCCUGGGUAGUACGGCCGCAAGGCUAAAACUCAAAGGAAUUGACGGGGACCCGCACAAGCGGUGGAACAUGUGGUUUAAUUCGAUAGCAAGCGAAGAACCUUACCAGGAUUUGACAUCCUUGGAAUCCGCUAGAAAUAGUGGAGUGCCUUUUGGAGCCAAGUGACAGGUGCUGCACGGUCGUCGACAGCU